GGGGCGGGGGCGGGGCAUGAGUGCUGCUUUAAGUUAACUCAAAAUCGGAGUGCAAGCCUAGGCGGUAAGUGAACCUUUGAGAAACGCGGUCCCCAGGUUGUCCUCAGGACACACUCAGGUGUCAGCUCUAUUUUAUUUCCUUACACUGAAUAAUCCCCUUUGGGGGUUCCUGUGUUGGGAUCUUUUCAUUUCUAUUAGGCUUUCUUUAUCAUUGCUCCUCAAUUUUACAUUCAGCACCCCUUUCAGUUUCUCUAAGCUUGUCUCCAAUUCUUUCCCAAGCUCGCCCAGGACAUAUGAAAUAUGAAAUUUAUAUGUCUCUCAGUGAAAGCCUCCACACAUAUCUGACCCCGGAGCACACAGAAGAUCUGCCUGGAUUAUCCCUGUCUGACUCAUGGGCGAUAGCUGUCAUCCUACUACAUAGACACGGAACUCUCAUUCCUGAGAGGGUUUUCUUCCUCCGGGUUCAUGUUUAUCGCCCCAACAUGCACGAUUUGGCCACACAGUGGAACACCUGUUCUAGGACACAAAGCUUGGCACCUGUAGGACAGCAGGGGGCGCCUCUCUGUGCCCCUCAAGACUUGGGUGCCAGCUCCUUUGCGGUUCCCAGACUGCCUGCAGAAAGCAUACUGGCAUGAAGUUGCCUUCUUCCACCACUAGAUGGCGGAUGGAGGUCACACAUGAACGUGAAUGCCCACAUCAGAUUUAUCCACUUGACUGUUCUUCGCCAAACACACUGAGCCACGUACAGCAUGCUCAUGCUGCGAGGCUCCCCGGAUGAAGAUGACACAGUAGGGUUGUGCGGUGUCAGGUAGAUGGCGACACUGAAGCCUGCAAUGGAGGCAGGUGUUGCUUUCUUCUGAUCUCCUCAGAGAUGCUGUGUGAUCUGAUCUGAGUCAGGAGAGGAGUAGACAUUAUGUAAAUGACAGAGCGGAAGGAGGAUUGGCGUGAGAGAGGUCACUGGCAAGGACGCAGAGACUCACCAGCCCUUCUGCCCACAGUGAUCCUUUCUGUGACUGAACGUUGAUGAGUUCCAUCUUGUGCCGGCCUUGUGUGACAAUCACAGCUGCUGAGAGUUCAAGGGUGCAAUGGCAUGGUAAACAUCUGCAAUGUUUUCUUAGGCUCUUCCCUUUUGUUGCUUGGUUCCUGUAAGGUAAAUACCUUUGAUCAGUAUUCCCUGCUGCCAUGAUGUUCCUGCCUUGCCACAGACCACAGAGCUAUGGACCAGUUGAUCAUUGGAGGGAAACCUGUGAAACCAUGAGCCCAAGUUAAUCCUUUUCUCCCUUGAGAUGUUUAUCUAGGGGAUUUCGUCUUCAUGGCAAAAAGCUAAAGACAGAAGACUACACAGUAUGAACAGAAAUGAAGCUGCAAAGAAGACUCCGAGACCAGACCAGCUUGCCUAGACAAGGGAGAAUCCAGAUGCGCUGCCUGGAAGAGGCUUAGGCUGGACAGAAGCACCUGGAAAGGACACUCUUCAACCCGUUGAGCCGCAGUGAGGCUCUGAGAAGGGACGUAGGGUGGUCUGAGCAAUUUAAAGCAUGCAGCUUUAUAGAUGAUGUCACACUAUGAGCAGUGGCCAAAUCUCUGCAAGGGUCACUGCUUCAUGAGAAUACUUUUCCUUGGGAGAUGUGACACACGCUCCAGCGAGGGAGCUCAAGACGGAAGAAAGCAUAGCUACCACAGAAGCCCAACUGGGUGGACCAAUGCGCUUAUUGGGGUUACUUAUCGGAGCACAAAAGACUCAAAGACAGCUGUAUUAGCAAUAUCCAAAAACAGGGCUGGGAACCCGGAGCACCAUCUGUCGGUCUCCUCACCAGAACCGUUUCUUUAAUGCCAGCCAACCACGUCAGCUCUGGAUCAGUUGCGGCGCCGACUUGGUACUCAGUCCCCCAUCUCUGGUUAGAAAUGGGAGAGCAGCCAUUGGAUGCUUCCCGAGACUCUGCACGUAAGCGGCCAUGAGUGAGCCCACGUGAAUAGCCUAGGAACAGCUUCGCUCUCCUGUUCUGAGCCCCAUGCGGAUGCAGAGCACAGGUGGCCAGCGUAUUUUCACAUGCUGCUCUGCCCUGGACCUUGGAUCACACCCUCGCUACCCUUCCAUCAUAAUAUGGCUUCCUCUUCGUGCUCGGUCGUUUCCAGUUGAUUCUAGAAGGUUUCCUGGGUUUUUCUGCAGGUGUUCGUGCAGCUGAUGGAGUAGACAGUUAUUCUUCCCCCUUAAUUUGUUUAGCUCUUCGUGCAGUAGAUUUCAUACUAUGUGUAUAUAUUUUAAAAGGUUUAUUUGUUUUGGCAGGUUUAUACUCUACCAUCGUACUAUGUCAUGAGCACAUCACAAUAUAAAGUGGUCCCUGCAAUUAGGUUAGCAGUGGCUAUGACUUCAAAAUACUUGGCUGCUUUAGAGGUUUUGACAGCGUGAACAAAGUGCUCCCUUUGAGCGCUGUCACCUAGGGAUGGAUGUGUUUGUGGCAUUCACGGGGCAGAAGUGAGGUAAGACAACCACAUCUCCCUAUUAUGGUGCCAGAUAGAGUCUGCCCCUCCUUGAAUUUAAAGACUAGUACAGUUGGAAAACGCCACACCCGCCUGUUGUUUGUUGAGCGCUAAUGACUGAACAUGCCUUUGAUCUUGUGUCUCUUCUACACCUGAACUUGGGUUUGUAUUGCAAGUAUGUACACACUGGUAUGUCUCAGUCAGUGUUCUGUGUACUGAAGAGACACCAUGAUCACGACAAUGAUUACCAAAGAAAGCAUUUACUGGAGGCUUGCUUACGGUUUCAGAGGUUUCGUUCAUUAUCAUCAUGGUGGGGAGCAUAGUGGCAGACAGGCAGACAUGGUGCUGGAGAAGGAGCUGAGAGUUCUACAUCUGGAUCCGCAGGCAGCAGAAAGAGAGAGAUCUUGGUCAGAGCUUAGUAUUUUGAAACCUCAAAGCCCACCCCCGAGUGACACAGUCCCUACAACAAGGCCACACCUCCUAACCCUUUCAAAUGGUGUCACUCCCUAAGAAUUCAAAUAUGAGAAACUGCGAGUCCAUUCUUAUUCCAAGCAGCACACAGUAUUUCUAGUGACUUCUUGGAGACGAUGCAUUACUCUGUGUAUAUCUUGACAUGUCUGAUACUUACCAAGCUGAUUAAAAUUGCCGUUCUAACUUUAGUUGGAAUCCUUCUGGUUGCUUUAAGGUUAUAGGACAAUGUGUUGCCAAUGUCAAAUACCUUGUCUCUCUUCUGAACAUUAUCUUCAGGUUUGGGGGACUCUGUAUGAUAAUACACUCCGUCAAUAUAGACAGCACAGGGAUAGGGACAGGGACAGUAUUAACAUGGACUUGUUUGCUUUAAAAGAAAACUUAAGCAUCUUUGUCAGACCCCUUGGAGGCUUGUUGUAUGUCUUCCUGAUUGUUAAGUAAAAAUAGAGACCAUAUUAUUGUCUGUACUCUGAAAUAUGUCUUACACACUAAACAUAUGUUGUAAAUAAUAAUGUUAAUAAGAGUGCUCUGAACUACGAAACCUCUUCCUAGAGAUCUAUCUCCCCAACCACCCCCCCCCCCCCACACACACACACACACUUCAAAGCUUCCCUCUUUGCUUUGUUUUUCCUGGCAUUUUAGCGGAGUUAUUUUGAGACAACAUUGUUGUUCUCUUUAUGCGUAUACUGUGUUUAUAUCUUCUGAUGAUCUUUUCAGAGAAUCCUGUUAUCACUUGGGCUUUGUGGGCUCAGGGAUGCUACUGCUGUUGCUCUGGACUGAAAGUGGAAUCCUUACUAUUGAUUGUCCACUGGUCAGGGAGCCCUGCAGGAGGCAAAACCUCUAGCAUACCCGAGAGGGUUAGCUUGACUGGUUUAACUGUGUGACAUUGCUAUGAGGAAAGUAACUAAGUCACAAGAACUUGUAACAAACUUACUCACGUUUGCUCAAGGCAGCUAAGAAGCAGAGGAAUUAAGAUUUGAACUUGGGCCUCCUGGCUUCAAGGUUUGACUGACUCUCCCCACCUCUCUCCUCCACUUCUCCCCUCCCUGGUGUUCCUCUCUUCCUCUCCUUCCCUUUCCUUUUCCCUCCCCUUCAUUUCCCCUCUCUCCCCUUCCCUUUCUCUUUUCUCCCCCUCUCUUCUUUUUUCUCUUCUCUCUUUUCUUUCCUUUGAUUUCACACCCCCUUCCUUCCUUUUUGAGGUAGAGUCUUGCUCUGGAGUCCAGGCUGGCCUGGAAGUUGGCUUUCUCCUCAGCAGAACUGGAGUUACCAUCCUACAAUGUCGUGAAGCAUGGCUCUUUUGGACUCAAUGCUUUGCCAGCAGUUUGCCUUCUGGCCACAAUCCAGUGAAUUGCCUCUGCUGCAGGCUCUUGGUUCCCUACCUGCCAGAGGACAACAUAGUGUGCACUUCUGGUCCUGAAAGGAAGUACUUUUAAGACACCAUUCUCUGAAAGCAGAUGACCGUGAUCUAUCUUCCAAUCGCUCUUGGGCCUGUAAGAUGUCCUGCCCCAUGUCCACAAAGUAGCCAUGACUCUAUCUGUGGUGUGUUGAUGAUGCCUUAUUUCUAAAACCACAUUGUACCAGAGAACUGGAGUUGUUAAAAUAAUAAAUACUCAAUAUAUGGACCUAAAACAUGCAUGUGCUCAUAAGGAU